UACGUAGGGUGCGAGCGUUAAUCGGAUUUACUGGGCGUAAAGCGUGCGCAGGCGGCCCGUUAAGACAGGUGUGAAAUCCCUGGGCUCAACCUAGGAAUUGCGCUUGUGACUGGCGGGCUCGAGUACGGUAGAGGGGGGUGGAAUUCCUGGUGUAGCAGUGAAAUGCGUAGAUAUCGGGAGGAAGGUCGGUGGCGAAGGCGGCCUCCUGGGCCUGCACUGACGCUGAGGCGCGAAAGCGUGGGGAGCAAACAGG
rnacentral:rRNA from 1 species